GAUGAACGCUAGCUACAGGCUUAACACAUGCAAGUCGAGGGGAAACGGCAUUGAGUGCUUGCACUCUUUGGACGUCGACCGGCGCACGGGUGAGUAACGCGUAUCCAACCUUCCCAUUACUGUGGGAUAACCUGCCGAAAGGCAGACUAAUACCGCAUAGUCUUCGAUGACGGCAUCAGAUUUGAAGUAAAGAUUUAUCGGUAAUGGAUGGGGAUGCGUCUGAUUAGCUUGUUGGCGGGGUAACGGCCCACCAAGGCGACGAUCAGUAGGGGUUCUGAGAGGAAGGUCCCUCACAUUGGAACUGAGACACGGUCCAAACUCCUACGGGAGGCAGCAGUGAGGAAUAUUGGUCAAUGGACGGAAGUCUGAACCAGCCAAGUAGCGUGCAGGAUGACGGCCCUAUGGGUUGUAAACUGCUUUUGUAUGGGGAUAAAGUUAGGGACGUGUCCCUAUUUGCAGGUACCAUACGAAUAAGGACCGGCUAAUUCCGUGCCAGCAGCCGCGGUAAUACGGAAGGUCCAGGCGUUAUCCGGAUUUAUUGGGUUUAAAGGGAGCGUAGGCUGGAGAUUAAGUGUGUUGUGAAGUGUAGACGCUCAACGUCUGAAUUGCAGCGCAUACUGGUUUCCUUGAGUACGCACAACGUUGGCGGAAUUCGUCGUGUAGCGGUGAAAUGCUUAGAUAUGACGAAGAACUCCGAUUGCGAAGGCAGCUGACGGGAGCGCAACUGACGCUUAAGCUCGAAGGUGCGGGUAUCAAACAGG
rnacentral:rRNA from 1 species